GCAUGGUCAUGCCUAGAGUCUGUAAGUAACGUAGCUGCAGUUGAUGCUGAAAAGGAUCGAAAGGCUAUAUGCAAAAUAAUGUUGGUAAUUGACAAGAGUGUGUAUGUACAUGUCCGUGAUUGCAAGACAGCGGCUGAAGUUUGGAAGGCCCUUAAGAAUCUAUUUGAAGACACUGGAUCGGACAGAAGAAUUGAUUGGAAGUUUAUUACUGAAAGGACUCCCUGUUGAAUACCAGCCAACGAUUAUGACUAUUGAAAGCACAGGUAGACCAUUAACAGAGGAUAGUGAAAAGAUUAAGCUUUUACAGGACGUUAAAUUUGCGCCUUCGUCCUCAAAUACUGCGUUAUUUUCGAAGAAAGGAAAAUUCACUGGAGGCAAGUUUGUGAAAAAAAUGGUCCAAAACGAGACAAGAAAGGAAAGUCGUGAUGCUUCAAUUGUGAUGGCAUUGGCCAUUUUGCAUCCGAUUGCCCGUCAAAGUCGAAGGAAAAGAAGUCCACAAGUAAAGAUUGUACUAUCGUUCGCAGCUUUCAGAGUGGAAUCAUCAACCGAGGAAUGGAAUAUUGACUGCGGUGCUGCCAAUCACAUGACAGCACGACGAGAACAUUUGAACAACUUUUGUGAGUACUCUAGUGAAAUGAAAGCCACAAAUAAUACAACAAUGCAAGCUGUUGGAAAGGGUGACAUAAAGAUGAAUCAAACAACGCCAAGAGAUUCGUCUGCAGUUAUUUCGCAAAGUGGGAAAAAUAUAUAAACCCUUCAUAUACGAUAAUCUAGUGGAUGUCUGCACAUUCUUGGGAGGUUUCGGUCAACAACGUCAAACGUUUUGGGGUUUGAUAUAUCCUAUGGUGACAAAGUUCAGCAAUAUAAAUCAUACUUGCCCUUACGAACCCCAUGAUAUUGUCGUUAAAGAUUUAAUUGCAAACAAUGAUCUUACAAACAUGGUUCCACUGCCUAAGGGAAGAUAUCGUGUUCGGGGAACAUUAUUCUUAAAUAAUGCCAAACGAGUCAUUGUUACUGUAGAUGGCGAAAAGUCGUAAAUAACUGCAAAUUGGAUUAAACAAAACAACAAAUUAUUUUCAGCAGACUUUUGA